CUUCAUGUAUAAAUAUGAAGUCGUGCCUGCCCACUGAUGAAUAUUAAAGGGCCGCGGUAUAUUGACCGUGCAAAGGUAGCAUAAUCAUUAGUCUUUUAAUUGAAGGCUGGUAUGAAUGGUUUGACGAAAUAACAACUGUCUCUUAAUUAAAAAUUGAAUUUUACUUUUAAGUUAAAAGGCUUAAAUAAUAAUAGGGGACGAGAAGACCCUAUAGAUCUUUAUAAAAAUUUUUGUAUUUUGUGUUUAGUUGCUUAUUAUAAAAUAUAUUAAUUUUUAUUUCAUUGGGGUGAUGAGAGAAUAGAAUAACUUCUUUAUAUUUUACUAUGAUAAUUGGUUAAUUGAUCCUGUAUUAUGGAAUUAAGAUUAAGAUACCUUAGGGAUAACAGCGUUAUAUUAUUGGAGAGUUCAUAUCGAUAAUAAUGAUUGCGACCUCGAUGUUGGAUUAAGAAUAUAGUUGGGUGCAGAAGUUCAAUAUAUUGGUCUGUUC
rnacentral:rRNA from 1 species